AAUUCGGCCAAAAACGGCUAACCCAAGGCGAAUCGCCUCCUCAAGCGGCAGCGCCGUCGCCGGAGCACGGCGGAGCCACCGUGCCGGAAUUGCGAUAUUGGCCGAAAGGGGCCUUGGGUCUAAUUUGGGAUUUUUUGGAACACGUGCAGGUACCAGUAGUGCGUUUCAGUUCCCCGGGAAAAAUUCAGGGAAAAUUAGGGACAGCCUGUAGGCGCACUGUGGAGCCGUGUUCGGACCCCGAAACGAGUAAGGACCCCUCACCCUAUUUCCUAUCACGGUAUUAAA
rnacentral:lncRNA from 1 species